UACGGAGGAUGCAAGCGUUAUCCGGAAUGAUUGGGCGUAAAGGGUCCGCAGGUGGCUAUGUAAGUCUGCUGUUAAAGAGUUUGGCUCAACCAAAUAAAAGCAGUGGAAACUACAUAGCUAGAGUGCGUUCGGGGCAGAGGGAAUUCCUGGUGUAGCGGUGAAAUGCGUAGAUAUCAGGAAGAACACCGGUGGCGAAAGCGCUCUGCUAGGCCGCAACUGACACUGAGGGACGAAAGCUAGGGGAGCGAAUGGG
rnacentral:rRNA from 1 species